rnacentral:ncRNA from 2 species
AUCAUAAGUAAUUAUUUAUUUCAUAUAAUCACAAUAAUAUGGAUUGUGAGUUUCUAGGGUUUUCCUUAAAAAAACCUGCUAUGAGAUAACAAUUAAUUGAA